AGCUAUUAUAGCUCAUUUAGACUUUUUUUUCUAGUAGGUUUUUUGACUUUGGUAGAAAAACCUAU
rnacentral:snRNA from 1 species